GGAUAGGACCAGGGACCCUCCAACUGGGCAUGCGCGGCGUCCUUUUGCAGGCGGAGGGCGGAAAACUCCACUCGUAGAACGUGCAGCGGCCUCUGGUUUAGCUGUGCCUGCGCAGGACGAGAAUCAUGGUCUCCUCCCCAUCACUUUACCCCCGAGCUCCUGCCGCCUUGCACCCUGCUGCUUUAUUCCUUGUCUCAGAACUACCCCAGUCCUUUGCCUUCAGGAGGUGAAUUUCAAAUUUGUUCUCCUGCUUCUUCGCUUGGCUGUCUUGCAAAUAAACCGUCUUUGGGGCAGACCUCGGCAGGCAUCUCAGCCUUUUGGCUUAGUGUGCGUCCAGCGAAAUGAAACCGAUUCGGUAACUGACCAAGAGCUCUUACAGGAGAGUGGAAGGUACCAUGGAGAUACGUCGAUGUGCGCCUUACUCAGCCUGGGGGAGGAGUUGGAGGGCUCCUCUUGGUUGCUUUCUUGUCUUGGGAUACCUUACACCCACCUCUGACACACACGGAGGUUGGAAACUGUGAUAUGAAGCUGAGGAUUCUGAGCACAGGAGCCCCUCUAUGCCACUUGGUAAGUCUGUUUACU
rnacentral:lncRNA from 1 species